CCCGGGUCUUGUACACACCGCCCGUCACACCAUGGGAGUGGAAUCCGCCAGAAGUAGGUAGUCUAACCGCGAAGGGGGACGCUUACCACGGUAGGUUUCAUGACUGGGGUG
rnacentral:rRNA from 1 species